UACGAAGGGGGCUAGCGUUGUUCGGAAUUACUGGGCGUAAAGCGCGCGCAGGCGGUCCUUUAAGUCAGAGGUGAAAGCCCAGAGCUCAACUCUGGAAUGGCCUUUGAGACUAGAGGACUUGGGUACGGGAGAGGUGAGUGGAAUUCCGAGUGUAGAGGUGAAAUUCGUAGAUAUUCGGAAGAACACCAGUGGCGAAGGCGGCCCCCUGGGCUAACACUGACGCUCAGGCACGAAAGCGUGGGGAGCAAACAGG
rnacentral:rRNA from 1 species